rnacentral:pre_miRNA from 1 species
AUCACCUGAGGAUCUUGUUAAAAUGUAGACUCUGACUCAGUAGCUCUGGGUCGCAGCCUGAGAGUCUGCAUUUCUAACAAGUACCAGGUGUUGCUGA